rnacentral:snRNA from 1 species
GGAAGUAAGGGCAAGCUGGCUGUGGUGUCUUUAAUCCAAGUGAUCACUGUGCUGGAUUCGUCUGAUCUGGCUGGCUAGGCAGCUGUCGGCAUCCUCCCUCACCUCUCCAUGUACCUCUCUCUCCAAGUGUAUGCUCUUCUGAAGAGGAUGACCUUCCCUGUGAGGAGAGGGCCAUUGUUCGGCCAGGGUCCAGGAUGGAAAAGUAGCUGCAUGUUCCUGGUGGAGCCUCUAAACAAACAGAGCCCCGUGGCCCCAUGGAGCACACCCUGCCUCCAGAUGCGCUGUCUUUGGACUGCUCUCU